rnacentral:rRNA from 1 species
GACGAACGCUGGCGGUGUGCUUAACACAUGCAAGUCGAACGGUAAGGCCCUUUCGGGGGUACACGAGUGGCGAACGGGUGAGUAACACGUGAGUAACCUGCCCUCAUCUCUGGGAUAACAGUCGGAAACGGUUGCUAAUACUGGAUAUGAGCUUGCAAGGCAUCUUGUGGGUUGGAAAGAUUUUUUUUGGCUGGGGAUGGACUCGCGGCCUAUCAGCUUGUUGGUGAGGUAGUGGCUCACCAAGGCUUCGACGGGUAGCCGGCCUGAGAGGGCGACCGGCCACAUUGGGACUGAGAUACGGCCCAAACUCCUACGGGAGGCAGCAGUGGGGAAUAUUGCACAAUGGACGGAAGUCUGAUGCAGCAACGCCGCGUGCGGGAUGACGGCCUUCGGGUUGUAAACCGCUUUCAAUUGUGACGAAGCUUUUUUGUGACGGUAGCAGUAGAAGAAGCACCGGCUAACUACGUG